CAAUUGUGAUUUUGAUUAUGAAUAAGGUUAACGAGCUAUACCAACAAGGAUAAGCUAUACAUUGGAGAAGGUAAAGGCAUACACAACUCCAACAACUACAAUGUUCCCAAUCGUGGCUAUAAUGGCAAUCCAUAACAAAAUGGCAUCGUUUGAGGAACGAGAUGCCUCUUCCGGCUGGCUUGGCAUUGAGGCUGCUGCAUGGACAUUGGCAGAGGAGUUAAACAAGGAAUACUCCGUACUAAAUUCUUCAUUGGUUCUAAUGACAUUUUGUGGAUGUGUCAAAGAGGCUCCAGUGGGGAUCUAUAAAGUAAAAAUACAUCUCUCCCAAAUGCAGUUGUCCACACCUCCUGUAAAGAAUGUAGAAAAUGUCCUUCAAGCCACAGGCAACAGAAUUCCCGAGCCUUCCUGUGAAAUGUCAGAGGUAUUGGUUUCAAUGCACACAUCAUAAAUACACAAGUCAUCUCAACUGCACAUAGAAGAAAAAGAAUCUUCUCAGAGAUGGUUUGACCCCAAGGGAAUUGACUUUUGAUAAGAGGAUGUAUAGCUGUCACAAAUCACCACUUUGAAGACUACUACCAGCUGCUUGAAAGACGUUCAUCAUCUCACAUAAUUCUUUGAAGAGUUACUUUCAUAGACUCCAUAUCUGGUGUGUUCAAGAUACCAGAACAACUUCAUGCCAUGAGUUCACAGUCAAAGUCAAGGAAUGAAAACAGAGUAAAAACAUCUGUGGCACUUCAGGGGAAAGAGUCCAAUAAGAUGAACCAGCUGAGACUGAAAGACCUGGAGGCUGUAAGGAGGAACUUUUGGGAGUUUUUUGGGGGGAGGGUAUUGAACUGAGUACUUGCCCGCAUUUUCUUCAUUCGUAACUUUGCUGUAUAGUAGUAACCUGGCAUUUUAAAAAUUCCAUGAUUUCCUUGUGCUAACAAGGUUCUGCAAUCAUCACAUUUGCAACAAAAAGUCACAGUUUGCAUCUUUCUAUACUGAAAGAUCAGCAAGGAAAGAAUUAAAAUUAGGUGUGUAUGCUAUGUUCUUAUCAGAAGACUUUGCACCUUUCACCUCAGUUCCCACAGUAUAAUUCAACUUAAAAUUUUGCAGGCCGAGAGGACUACAUAGUUAAAAUUGAAAGGUUUUGUUUAGCUAAUGUUAGACACUUAUCCGUUACUGCCUUCCACAAUUCUGAACAGCUAUUUUAUUUUAUAUCAAAAGCAUUGCAUAAAUUGGGUCUUAGCUAAUUAGCUUUCUCGACAGCUAAUUAGCUAAGAUCCUUUAUCACUUAUAUUACUGUUGCUGUGGUCUUGAUGAAGUUGAGGACCCCUCCCACUAUUUGUUCUUUGUCAAAGAGAAUUAGAGAAAAAUACUUGAUGGGGUUGUUAUCUAUACAAAAUUAGUCUAUCAUCAAAAUAUUAGAUUUUUGGACUCUUUAACAAAGACCCUAGAAUCGCUAGAAGAUCUGCAACAAGUGAAGGACAUUGAUUUGAUCACCCUUGUCCAGAGUCAUCUGUGGUAACUUAUUACUUCAACAACUCUCAGAAGCAAAUACAUAAUAAGAAAAAUCAAGUGAGAAAUCUGAAUAAUCGAGUUUCUGUUUUUUCUUAAGGAAGCUAUAUAAGUACUGUAGAAUGGAAAUAAUCUUUUUAAUUGUCCAUGUGAAUUACUGUUAUGAAAAGUCCUACAAGUCUAGUGAGCUGGGAAUGCUUGUUGGGGGACAAAAAACAGCCUUAAGUGCAGACAACCACAUAGCCAAAGGGACCUACUGAAUUUCUAAAGUGUCUCUACUAGGAAAUCUUUGGAGAAGAUUAUUCUUAUAAUUGGGUGAUGCACUAUUUGUUGCAAAGUCCCACAAGACAUCAGCUUUCCACUUAAAUUGUAUCCUGCAUGUCUUACUUUCCCCAAGGUUGGUAAGAAAUCUUAAGAAAUCAAUGUCAAAUCCUUUACAAGACGCAAUAAAAACCGUCUUAUUUAAAAAAGGGUUUAAACUACACUAACUAUAGACACAAAAAAUCUUCAGAAAAAAAAAUCUAGAGAAACAAAUGAAAUUAUAUUUAUGCUUACUGAUGUCUAUUUCGAAUAAUACAAUACCAAUGCUGCUGGAAAAUUUCAACAAUGUAGUUUCACACUCAUUUUUUCAACAUCAAGCAGUAACAGAUGACCCAGAGCUCAACUACAUGACAAAGGGAUCACAUUUCUAUGGUAGAGAACAUGCUUUGUAUACAAAAGGUCCUACAUUCAAUCUAUGGCAGUUACAAGAUGGUGAGAAAGCCCUUUGACUGAAAGGAUCUUGUGUCAAGAGGGGAAAAGCUAAGUGAGAUAGAUAACAAUCCACUGUUUCUGUAACUUUGCAGAAACAUUUGAUAACUGACUUUCACGACAGGAAUGCACUAGUUAAGGGUCUCCCCAUCUCCACCUUCCAAAUUUGAAAGCUUUUUUUUUCUUCAAAAGAAGAGCUUCUGCCAUAUGAGGAAGUUCUCCAAAUAAUCUGUAAACCUUAUUGCUUCUCCUGACAAGGAAUGCUUCCAUCCAUAGAUGGUCUUUCCUCUUGACAUUGUUACUCUCUACUUUCUUGAGUGCAGGUGAAAGCAGGUGUCCAAAUAGCUGAAGAGGGCUUAGAUUUACAGUUCAUAUUUGUUGGAUGUCAGAGACACAGGACCCCUACAAAAGUCAAAAAGUGCAAAUAAAGAAAUCGCUGGGUUUUUUUUUAACCUGAGAGAAUCUUUAGGAAUUUCUGGGGUCUUCCAGCAUUACUCAGUACUUGAUUUCUAUUGGAAGCUGACCAUAGAAAUUGCACUAUAGGACUGAAAGGUUUCUAGAGAAGUGUUCUCUUGAGAAAUCUCUAAGUCCUCCAGCAUAAACAGAGACAGUUGACUUUUUACUUGAGAGAACAUCUCUCUAGGAAUUUCUAGAUUCUCCAGCAUGACUCUAUUGUCAACUUCCAUUGGACAUUCACCACUGAAUCUCACUGGAGAAUCUUGAGAUUUCUAGAGCAGUGUUCUCCAUAGAUAAUUGUAAAUUCUCCAGUAUGACAUUGUGGUCUACUUCCAGCUGAAGAUGAUCACAGAUUGCACUGAAGGACCUAAAUAUUUGAAGAGAUAACAUUUUAAACCAAAUCCAUGAUGAAUCAAAUUCGUAAAGGUCAAAACUACAAAUGUGAAGGGAUGUCUGUAUAUAUAAAUCCAUUUUCUGCAUUCAUAAAAUGUAAUGGAAAUAUCUGGAAAUAUAAUGGAAAAGAGGAAAUCACAAAAAGAGAAAUGGAAAAGAGAAAUUAAAUAAAAAUAACUAUUAUGCAGGCCAUA
rnacentral:lncRNA from 11 species